rnacentral:rRNA from 1 species
CAUGCAGUCGACGAUGAACUCCAGCUUGCUGGGGGGAUUAGUGGCGAACGGGUGAGUAACACGUGAGUAACCUGCCCUUAACUCUGGGAUAAGCCUGGGAAACUGGGUCUAAUACUGGAUAUUGACUUUUCCUCGCAUGGGGUUUGGUUGAAAGAUUUAUUGGUUUUGGAUGGACUCGCGGCCUAUCAGCUUGUUGGUGAGGUAAUGGCUCACCAAGGCGACGACGGGUAGCCGGCCUGAGAGGGUGACCGGCCACACUGGGACUGAGACACGGCCCAGACUCCUACGGGAGGCAGCAGUGGGGAAUAUUGCACAAUGGGCGAAAGCCUGAUGCAGCGACGCCGCGUGAGGGAUGACGGCCUUCGGGUUGUAAACCUCUUUCAGUAGGGAACAAGGCCAGGCUUUGUCUGGUUGAGGGUACUUGCAGAAGAAGCGCCGGCUAACUACGUGCCAGCAGCCGCGGUAAUACGUAGGGCGCAAGCGUUAUCCGGAAUUAUUGGGCGUAAAGAGCUCGUAGGCGGUUUGUCGCGUCUGCCGUGAAAGUCCGGGGCUCAACCCCGGAUCUGCGGUGGGUACGGGCAGACUAGAGUGAUGUAGGGGAGACUGGAAUUCCUGGUGUAGCGGUGAAAUGCGCAGAUAUCAGGAGGAACACCGAUGGCGAAGGCAGGUCUCUGGGCAUUAACUGACGCUGAGGAGCGAAA